UGAUGUGCUGUAUGUGACCUGGAGAUCCAGGGAAGCUGGUGGUAUAAUCUGGUUCAAGUCCAAAGGCCUGAGAAUUUGGAGGACUGAUGGUUCAAGUCCCCAAAGGAGUCGAAGAAUCAGAGCCAGGAGAGUCCAAGUCUGAGAGCAGGAGAAGAUGGAUGAAUUCACGCUUCCUCCGCCAUGUCUGAUCCCGGUAAAGCCAUUUCAGCAGCGGCGGGAGAGAGCAGCCUGACUGCAGGGAGUUGAGGAGGUUCACGGGGCUGAAACGAGGUUGGGGGGUGGCUAGCACUUGCCAGGCUACCUCUGCUGCCCACUUGGUAUUGCAUGGACACCUUCCCCAACCUUCACACUUGGUUUUCUUCCUCUGCCAGAAGUUCAUCUCCUUAUGGGCUGGACUUGCAACGUUCCUGAAUCGUCUUUGUUUUGCAUUUCUACCAGAAGCCCUUGGUGACGCCACACAUUAUGUUUAGGGAUAACGCUAACACCAGGUCGCUGUGAGGCUAAACCAUGAAACUGGCAGCGGCAGCGCCUCUCGCCGCGGGGGCGGCCUUCCCAGCCGGGAACGGCGGGGCGGGGCGGGGCGCGGGGCCGCUGUUCUCCCGCCCUCGCUGCCCGGUGCCUCCAGUGUCGGCCCAGUUCCCAGCCAGUGCGGACUUCCCUUUCCCUCCCAGAGUCUUCUUUCUUGACUGUGGCCAUCCAGGAAUGCUUGCCCCCGGUGACUGGGGGAGAUUUAGGAGAUUAGGGAGAGCAGAGAAACAAAGCGUGAAUUCCCGCCGGGGCUGCACAGGUGUCCUCUCGGCGUCUCUGCCGGGAUUCUCAAAACAUCUCGCACCAGGAGUGCGCCCUCCACUCGCUGGUUCUUGCGAUCUUAUUUGGACGCCAGGACAGCUCCUCGUGUUCUCUCUGAAGCAACGGUCUUCUCUGUCAGGGAACGCCGUCUUCCUCUACCAAGCAUUCAGCUUCGGGAUAGACACAUACAGAGGUGUGAGGAAGGCAGGCGGCAACCAGCCAGCCAGCCAGCCAGCGCAGCAGAAUAAACCCUGUUAACCACUGAGGUGACAGCAUUUCACUGGGACUACAUGUCACCCUCCCACACGCUGACCCCUGUGUUGGAGUAACUUCACCUCGGAUGUUGCCCUCUCAAGACUCCAGGGUCCCCACUGGCAGAGCUACCUGGGAUUCAGCGGCCAAGUGGCGUCCCAGCCCCGGCACCCCGAAGCGUGCACGGAAGAGGAGCUCUGAAGCUGACAGACACUAGCUUAGUAACUGGCGCCCCCGCCCUCCUCUCCUGUUUCCUACACACCCGUGCUCA